AGAUUGAACGCUGGCGGCGUGCCUAACACAUGCAAGUCGAGCGGUAACGCGGGAGCAAUCCUGGCGACGAGCGGCGAACGGGUGAGUAACGCUUCGGAAUCUACCUAGUAGUGGGGAAUAACCAAUCGAAAGGUUGGCUAAUGCCGCAUACGACCUAUGGGUGAAAGCGGGGGAUCGUAAGACCUCGCGCUAUUAGAUGAGCCGAAGUCGGAUUAGCUAGUUGGUAGGGUAACGGCCUACCAAGGCGACAAUCCGUAGCUGGUCUGAGAGGACGACCAGCCACACUGGGACUGAGACACGGCCCAGACUCCUACGGGAGGCAGCAGUGGGGAAUAUUGGACAAUGGGGGAAACCCUGAUCCAGCGACGCCGCGUGUGUGAAGAAGGCCUGCGGGUUGUAAAGCACUUUUAGUGGGGAUGAAAGCUCAGGGCUAAUACCCUUGGGUCUUGACCUAACCCACAGAAAAGCACCGGCUAACUCUGCGCCAGCAGCCGC
rnacentral:rRNA from 1 species